rnacentral:rRNA from 1 species
AGACCCGAAACCCGGUGAUCUAGCCAUGGGCAGGUUGAAGGUUGGGUAACACUAACUGGAGGACCGAACCGACUAAUGUUGAAAAAUUAGCGGAUGACCUGUGGCUGGGGGUGAAAGGCCAAUCAAACCGGGAGAUAGCUGGUUCUCCCCGAAAGCUAUUUAGGUAGCGCCUCGUGAAUUCAUCUCCGGGGGUAGAGCACUGUUUCGGCUAGGGGGCCAUCCCGGCUUACCAACCCGAUGCAAACUGCGAAUACCGGAGAAUGUUAUCACGGGAGACACACGGCGGGUGCUAACGUCCGUCGUGAAGAGGGAAACAACCCAGACCGCCAGCUAAGGUCCCAAAGUCAUGGUUAAGUGGGAAACGAUGUGGGAAGGCCCAGACAGCCAGGAUGUUGGCUUAGAAGCAGCCAUCAUUUAAAGAAAGCGUAAUAGCUCACUGGUCGAGUCGGCCUGCGCGGAAGAUGUAACGGGGCUAAACCAUGCACCGAAGCUGCGGCAGCGACGCUUAUGCGUUGUUGGGUAGGGGAGCGUUCUGUAAGCCUGUGAAGGUGGCCUGUGAGGGUUGCUGGAGGUAUCAGAAGUGCGAAUGCUGACAUAAGUAACGAUAAAGCGGGUGAAAAGCCCGCUCGCCGGAAGACCAAGGGUUCCUGUCCAACGUUAAUCGGGGCAGGGUGAGUCGACCCCUAAGGCGAGGCCGAAAGGCGUAGUCGAUGGGAAACAGGUUAAUAUUCCUGUACUUGGUGUUACUGCGAAGGGGGGACGGAGAAGGCUAUGUUGGCCGGGCGACGGUUGUCCCGGUUUAAGCGUGUAGGUGUGUGUUCCAGGUAAAUCCGGUUCACUUUAACACUGAGGCGUGAUGACGAGGCACUACGGUGCUGAAGCAACAAAUGCCCUGCUUCCAGGAAAAGCCUCUAAGCAUCAGGUAACAUCAAAUCGUACCCCAAACCGACACAGGUGGUCAGGUAGAGAAUACCAAGGCGCUUGAGAGAACUCGGGUGAAGGAACUAGGCAAAAUGGUGCCGUAACUUCGGGAGAAGGCACGCUGACACGUAGGUGAAGUGAUUUACUCACGGAGCUGAAGUCAGUCGAAGAUACCAGCUGGCUGCAACUGUUUAUUAAAAACACAGCACUGUGCAAACACGAAAGUGGACGUAUACGGUGUGACGCCUGCCCGGUGCCGGAAGGUUAAUUGAUGGGGUCAGCGCAAGCGAAGCUCCUGAUCGAAGCCCCGGUAAACGGCGGCCGUAACUAUAACGGUCCUAAGGUAGCGAAAUUCCUUGUCGGGUAAGUUCCGACCUGCACGAAUGGCGUAAUGAUGGCCAGGCUGUCUCCACCCGAGACUCAGUGAAAUUGAACUCGCUGUGAAGAUGCAGUGUACCCGCGGCAAGACGGAAAGACCCCGUGAACCUUUACUAUAGCUUGACACUGAACAUUGAGCCUUGAUGUGUAGGAUAGGUGGGAGGCUUUGAAGUGUGGACGCCAGUCUGCAUGGAGCCGACCUUGAAAUACCACCCUUUAAUGUUUGAUGUUCUAACGUGGACCCGU